rnacentral:lncRNA from 1 species
UUGCUGAUCUGUAGUGUUUGCUGAUUUCCCUAAAUGUUUCCACAGUGGUCAAUUUCAAGAACUAAAAUGAAGUCACUUUACACAGAGCCGGGAAGAGGAGAGCAUAAUCCUCCUGACCAGAAACCAGUCCAUCAUCUGCCACCGGCUAGAUCCAGUGGAUAUUGGUGCCACCGGCCAUCCAGGAAUCUGAGAUGGGCACUGAUUACUUGCCCCAGUUCUCCCCCCAAAUUACUGACCCUGCUUUCUGCUUCAGUUGAGAUAUGCAACAUAUUUAACCAUCUGUUUGGCAAGAGCAUUUGAUCCAUCACAUUGGAAGCCUGACCAAUCAGAAUGUAUGCCCAAAUAAUCAAAAUGGACACCCAACCAGUCAAAUGGAUGCCUGACCAAUCUGAAUUAAAAGCCAACCAAUCAGAAUGAACACCUGACCCAUCAUAAUAAAUGAAGAGUAUACAGCCAAAUACUGGUCUCCCAUUUAUUAUUGAACUUGUCACUUGUGGAUUCUCCCCUCAAUUAGAUGGGAAGCAAACUGAGGGAAGGGAUCAUAUGAUAGAUCCCUUUGUAUUCUCC